rnacentral:rRNA from 1 species
UACGAAGGGGACUAGCGUUGUUCGGAAUCACUGGGCGUAAAGCGCACGUAGGCGGAUGUGUCAGUCAGGGGUGAAAUCCCGGGGCUCAACCUCGGAACUGCCUUUGAUACAGCACGUCUCGAGUCCGGAAGAGGUGGGUGGAAUUCCUAGUGUAGAGGUGAAAUUCGUAGAUAUCGAGAGGAACACCUGCGGCGAAGGCGGGUUGCUGGGCUGACACUGACGCUGAACUGCGAAAGCUAGGGGAGCGAACGGG